CCAUUAGUGUAGUGACUACCACUUUUGCAUGCUCUCAUAAUGAAGGAUCUAAUGGAACUGCAGCAGCUCCCGGCGAUACUGCCUCCGAAAGAGAACCAGCAGAAACGACAUCACGC